GUUGGACCCACAUUCUGAAGUUUGACAGCUGGGAUUAAUUGUCUCUGUGAGUUUGCAGUACGCCUAGUGUUACAUGUAUUUUAAUCUCAAGCCCUAACCAUACAAUGGCUUCGCAAGCAGUAUGUAAAGCCAAAGAGCUCAGCGCUGUAAUAGAAGUGCUCUUGGCAGUUCUCUAGGCAAGGAUCUCAAAUUGAUCGCUUAAAAAUCACUUUCAAGCCAGGCAGGACAAACUCAAGCAAGGCAGCAACUGCAGGUGACAUCACCAAAGGACUGCAGAAAGAACAGGUUCCAAAAGGUUGGAGCUGCUAAUAAGGAGAAACUCUAUUUGGAUGACAGUGCUUUCCACUCACAAAGAAACUUGAAGAUAAACAUCUGAAAAUGUGUUCCUCCAUGGCUAAAAGUUGUUCUAAAGGUCUAACAGAAAACUUAAAGCAUUACCUCGCCUCAGUUUCUUGAGUAAUGCUUAACUACAGCAGGAAGAGUGGAUUUGAGAGA
rnacentral:lncRNA from 1 species